rnacentral:rRNA from 1 species
UACGGGGGGGGCAAGCGUUGUUCGGAAUUACUGGGCGUAAAGGGCUCGUAGGCGGCCAACUAAGUCAGACGUGAAAUCCCUCGGCUUAACCGGGGAACUGCGUCUGAUACUGGAUGGCUUGAGAUUGGGAGAGGGAUGCGGAAUUCCAGGUGUAGCGGUGAAAUGCGUAGAUAUUUGGAGGAACACCGGUGGCGAAGGCGGCAUCCUGGACCAACACUGACGCUGAGGAGCGAAAGCCAGGGGAGCAAACGGG